rnacentral:rRNA from 1 species
GACGAGGGAUCCUAGCGUUGUUCGGAAUUAUUGGGCGUAAAGCGGGUGUAGGCGGUUCUAUAAGUCAGGUGUGAAAUCCCAGGGCUCAACCCUGGAAGUGCAUUUGAUACUGUAGAUCUUGAAUGUGGUAGAGGUUACUGGAAUUGCUGGUGUAGUGGUGAAAUACGUAGAUAUCAGCAGGAACACCGGAGGCGAAGGCGGGUAACUGGGCCAACAUUGACGCUGAGACCCGAAAGCGUGGGGAUCAAACAGG